UCCUCUGUCACCUCUGUGCCUUUUGGUUCCUCCUCUGCAGCUCUAUGGCAAGUUGUUCAGCGGAGAGACACAAUGGACUACGGGUUGGUGGAGGAGUUUGUAACCACUGUGUUGGAGAUAAUCCCUGAUCUGAUGAGUUACAGAGAGAAAGUCCAACUCAUCAUCAGGCUAUGAGCACAGGUCAUUCAUUUUGUGUCGAUGAUUGCAUCCUCUCUUCACUGUAUCAAACGCUCUCAGAGAGGGUGGAAAUGGACAUUGAUGAAGCACGCUCACAUAGCCAGUCUAUAGCCACAUGUGCACCCAGAAAUGAAAGGGACACUUUGAUAGAGCAAGAUAAUGCAGAGAAGGAGCGGGGGAUGAGUUUGGACACGGUUAAGAAGGCAGUGGAAAUGAUAGAUAGAAGGACAGAGGAAUGGGGAGAGAACAACUAUGAGGAGAGACUGCAACAUCAGUUGGCUUAAGAUGUUUUACAGGUAGAGAUUGUAGAUGGAGAAGACAUGUCCUCAACGUCAUCGACAACAGCCGACAAUGUCGGAUGGACCUGGUCUCCGGAGGAUGGUCAAACAAACAGAUUCGUCAGAAGUUUGAGCGAAGUUCUAGAAACACGUGUAUAGCGACAUUUUGGAGUGGUUAAACGACCAUGGCUUCAAAAGGACUUGGAAGCAGUGUCAAACAAAGAUAAAGGACAUGAAGUUCAGCAACAGACAAACACUGAGGAACCCAAGCAGUAGUGGCCGAGUGACCUGUCCAUUAUUUUCCGAACUCCACACAUUUCUUGCUGCCAUGCCUGAUAUGCCUGGGUCCAAGGAAACUGUCAAGGUUUCAGAUGGAGAAGUCAUGUCCUCAGAUCAGGAUGAAGGGCCUUCUGUGAAUGUCAAGUUAGAGAAUCUACAUGAGGAAAUGGCUUCCAGAAAAGAGACACACAAGACACUCACCGGAGAGCAAACAGAAGAGAGGAAAUGGGAUGAGGCUUUUCACAGCCCUCAAUCACAGCAGAAUGAAAAUCAGAAGAAUAUCCCACCGUUGCGAACAGAUGGUUGAAGACAAGUCAGAUUUGUCCCUUCAGCCCAUAGAAGAGCUUUCAGAUAAAGAAGUAAUGUCCUCAACAUCAUCGACAAUGUCAGACGAUGACAGACGGAUACAGAACUGGAACUUGCAUGAGACAAAGACGCUUAUCGCCAUAUGGUCAAACAAACAGAUUCUUCAGGAGUUGGAGCACAGUUAUAGAAAAAAACAUGUACAACAUUUCAAAGCAGCUAAAGGACCUUGGUUUUAAAAGGACUUGGAAGAAGUGUCAAACUAAAAUAAAGGACAUGAAGUUCAGCUACAGACAAACACUGAGGAACCCAAGCAGUAGUGGCUGAGUGACCUGUCCAUUCUUUUCUGAACUGCACACAUUUCUUGCUGCCAUGACUAAUAUGCCUGGGUCCAAGGAAACUGUCAAGGUUUCAAAUGAAGUCAUGUCUUCAGAUCAGGAUGAAGGGCCUUCUGUGGAUGUCGAGUUGGAGCAUCUAAAUGAGGAAAUGGUUUCUAGAAAAGUGAAAGACAAGACACUCACUGGAGAGCAAACCAAAGAGAGAAAGGGGCAUGAAGUGUUUCACAGUCCUCAAUGUCACAGUAUGAAUAUUGGAAGAAAAACCCACUGUUGCCAACAGGUGGUUGACAACGUGUAAUUUGGAACUUAAGCCCGUAGUGCUGCUGACCCAACAAUGUUCUGAUGACGGGUGGUGCUCCUCGUCCUGUUUCCCAUACCACAGGGCAGUCUUCUAAAAGAAGCAAACGUGCCAAAAUAUGCUCCUUAUGUGGGAAGAGUUUUUUUGAAGCAAAAGAUUUGACAACACACAUGAGAACUCACACUGAGCAGAGCCCUCACCAGUGCACCCAGUGUGGGGAAGGCUUUGAACAUCAGGACGACUUACAAAAACAUCAGCAGAAUGAGUGUGAUGAGAUGAUGAACCAACAGGAGGCCAAUGAACACCAGCAUGGAAAGGACAGGAUCUCAGGACAGUCCAGUAAUGCAAGUACUGAUCCCAAAACAUGCCAUCUAUGCCAUAAGACUUUUUUUUUUUUUCAAUAUGUGUUGAAAAAGCAUCUUAUUGUAUUUCAAAAAGGCAGAAGCCUUUUUAUGUGUAAUCUCUGUCUAAAGGGUUUUGCCUUCCUCAGUGCUUUGAAGAAACACCAGAGCAACAAAAGAGGUUGUCCUUCAAGUGAAGUCAUCAAUAAGAGGGAGCUAUGGUCAAAUGAAAACUUAGUCGGAGGGAAAUGGACCCACGAGGAGACUAAAGCACUGAUCUCUGUAUGGUCAAACAAACAGAUACUUCAAGAGUUGGAGAAUAUAUAUAUAUAUAUAUAAAAAAAACUGUCUACUACGAAAUUUCAAAGCAGCUAAAGGACCAUGGCGUCAAAAAAAUGUGGAAGCAGUGCCAAUUAAAGAUAAAGGACUUGAAGUACAACCACAGACAAACACUAUGAAGCCCAAGCAGUAGCCGAGCGUGUCUAUAUUUUUCUGACCUGGACACAUUUCUCACUGUGAAAAAAAGGAGGGAGCUAGGUUAAAAGAGAACUUGUGCUCGUGUCAUUCCAGGAUUUUCCUUAAAUAAAAAUCAUUCCAAAACAUGCCAUGUGACUUUUUCACAAACGUCUAGUUUGAAGAUAUACUAUUUUUACCAUCAUGCCCCAGACCAAAGCUGCUUUAAGUGUCCCUGAUGUUUGAAGGCUUUUGUAUCCCACAGUCAAAUGAAGAGACACCAGCAGAGCAAAAGAGGUUGUCAGUUACAGUUCACAAAAAUGGGAGUAAGCCAGCAUGGUCACUGGCUCCUAGGGAAAAUAUGAGAUUCCUCAGCCUUCCAGUACAGCAACCCAGGAACCAACAACCUCUCAAGUUCCCACCACUACAGCACAGUCCUCUAAUAAAAAUACUAUUCCCAAAGCAUGUCCUAUAUGCCAUAAGACUUUUAAAUUUGAAGCUACCAUGGUAAGGCACAUUGCUUCUCAUCAAAAGGAAAGUCUCAACAAGUGCCCUGACAUCUUGAAGUGCACCAUUUGUGAAGCGAUGUUCUCUUGCGGCAUGGACCUGAAGAGCCACAACUGUCAUACAAUUUACAGGACUGUUUUCCUGCCCUUCUUGUCAGAAGACUUUUGUUUAAAUAACUGAGCUGCGCUUACAUCAGAGAAAUGAGUCCACUCCUUACCAGUGUUAUGUGUGCCAACGAUCAUUCUUAUCACUCGAUAAGCUGACUGUUCACAAGCGAAUUCACACGGGAAAAACCUUACUUCUAUGCUGAGUGUGGAAAGAGUUUCCGGGAUGCAAAAACCUUGGAACAACACUAAGAUUAAUGUCGAGGAAAACCCCACACUUGCUCCCAUUGUGGGAAAAGUUGCAAUGGAAAAGAGCUAUUGAAACAACACAUUACAUCACAAAGAUGCUGCUUUCAUCUGCCCAGACUGGGAAGUUUUUUCAGUUGGUAUGGUUAAGAAGGCAUAUGUUAAUGCACACUGGCGAGAGACCGUUCCUAUGUGACCUCUGCGGGAAGGGUUUCAAAUCUACAGUUGAAUUGAGGUUACACACCCGGACACACACUGGAGAACGGCCAUUCAAGUGCCCAGAAUGUGGCAAAGGUUGUAGGCAGAAGUGUCAUCUGCAGAUGCAUCGGCGGACGCACACAGGGGAGCGGCCGUAUCCAUGCACCGUGUGUGAUAAACGCUUUUAUGUCAGCAAAGAUAGAAAACGACAUAUGCUCAUCCAUACUGGAGAGAAGCCGUUCAAAUGUCAAGUAUGUGGCAUGGCUUUCAACCGUAAAGAGGUUUUGAGGGUACACCAACAAACCAAGAGGUGUUCAUAUAGGCACACAAGUCCCCUACAUAACACAUCAUUAUAAUAAUAAGUGGUUUCCUGACUGUGACAGAACUGGCCCUGUUGUUUGAUUUUCGGCUUUACGAUAGCCUAAGAAAUAAGUUAGCCUAGCUACAGCAUGAAUUCCCUUAGGCUUAAAAAAGAAUAAUAAAAUAUAUAUAUAUACACUAACAGUCAAAAGUUUGGACCACCUACUCA